rnacentral:rRNA from 1 species
UACGGAGGGUGCAAGCGUUAUCCGGAUUCACUGGGUUUAAAGGGUGCGUAGGUGGGCUAGUAAGUCAGUGGUGAAAUCUCCGGGCUUAACCCGGAAACUGCCAUUGAUACUAUUAGUCUUGAAUACCAUGGAGGUGAGCGGAAUAUGUCAUGUAGCGGUGAAAUGCUUAGAUAUGACAUAGAACACCAAUUGCGAAGGCAGCUUACUACGGAUUGAUUGACACUGAGGCACGAAAGCGUGGGGAUCAAACAGG